GAGAGAGAGAGAGAGAGAGAGGUACUAGGAAUUUGGCUUUGAAGAAUUGCACAUAGACAUUUCGGACCAAUUGAUAAGAGCUGGCGAUGCUGACCAUUCACAGAAUGUCAAAGGGUGUAGAAGAUGAACCAACCCUUUGUUUGAGAGGAAAUUUUUGGAGUCAAGGUAUGAAUUUUUAAAGUAAUGGGCAUAUGGGUCACUUGUUUGGGAGCAAAACAUCCUUAAUAAAUUUUAAAAUUUUCAUAUUUAUAAUUAUUUAAAUAUGUCCCUUUACAUAAUAAGAAUAUUUAGAUAAUAUUAUACUUAACCUUUACAGGGACUUAAUAUGACCAAUCAAAAUUCAAGGGCUCCAUAACAAAAAAGUUAAAAGUACAAGGACUCCAAGAUGCAUUUUGCCUAUUAGUAAAUACAAUUAUCCAUGAUUGCACCAUCAUCUCCUCUUCUUUAGACGAUAACACAAAAGCAGGAGCAAGAAGAAACUUAUCUCAAUCUUUAGAGCAAAAGAUAUCUAAAACAACCAAGAUCCGUGUAAAAAUUCCCUAUAUGCGUACCAACUGAAAACUACAACCAAAUAUAAUACAGUUCUCCAUUUUUAAAGAUGAAUUUUUUUGUCAAAAAGAUGAAUUCAAAAAUCCAACUUCAACUAAAUGAAUUUUGCAAUAUAUCACCACUGUUUUCUAUGGCUUUUGGGGGAGGAGGCACAUCCAUGGGUUUUGCACUUUAGAAUAGCAAGGUGCUGGCUUAUAUGGUGCUCUACAGCACAUGAAGGAAUAAUAAGAUUUUUUAUAAGAUGUUAACAAGCUCAUUAGAUAUUAAUUACUCAUAUUAUAGAAAAUCUGCUUCUAGUUCAAUCUAGUAUAAGCACAUGUUACAUCUGUUGUCCACGGAAUAUAAUUCAGUUUUGAGCUUGCAAAAUUAGAACAAUGUCCACACCAGGCUUCUUUCUUAGGUAAAUUAGCUGAUGUAAAUAACACCAGACUAGGCUUCUACUCAUCUGCAAAUCCUCCAACUAAAAAAUCAUCAAAACAUGCCUAGUGACUAAUCAUUACUGUUAGUGUCAAAAUGCCACAGGCAGGAUUAUUAUGUAAUGAUUUGAUACAAGUCAAUCACCUAAUUAGCAA
rnacentral:misc_RNA from 1 species